ensembl:snRNA U6 U6 spliceosomal RNA
AUGCUCGCUUUGGCAGCACAUACACUAAAAUUGGAACAAUACAGAGAUUAGCAUGGCCCCUGCGCAAGGAUGACAUGAAAUUUUUUUAAAAGGAUAAAAAAAAA